UACGUAGGGUGCAAGCGUUAAUCGGAAUUACUGGGCGUAAAGCGUGCGCAGGCGGUUGUGCAAGACAGAGGUGAAAUCCCCGGGCUUAACCUGGGAACUGCAUUGGUGACUGCAUCGCUCGAGUAUGGCAGAGGGGGGUAGAAUUCCACGUGUAGCAGUGAAAUGCGUAGAGAUGCGGAGGAACACCGAUGGCGAAGGCAGCCCCCUGGGCUAACACUGACGCUGAGGCACGAAAGCUAGGGGAGCAAACAGG
rnacentral:rRNA from 1 species